GAUGAAGAACGCAGCGAAAUGCGAUAAGUAAUGUGAAUUGCAGAAUUCAGUGAAUCAUCGAAUCUUUGAACGCACAUUGCGCCCCUUGGUAUUCCGAGGGGCAUGCCUGUUCGAGCGUCAUUAUAACCCCUCAAGCUCAGCUUGGUGUUGGGGCCUGCUGCACUGGCAGCCCUUAAAAUCAGUGGCGGCGCCAUCUGGCUCUAAGCGUAGUAAUUCUUCUCGCUAUGGAGUCCUGGUGGAUGCUUGCCAUCAACCCCCAAUUUUUCUAUGGUUGACCUCGGAUCAGGUAGGGAUACCCGCUGAACUUAAGCAUAUCAAUAAGCGGAGUA
rnacentral:misc_RNA from 1 species